rnacentral:rRNA from 1 species
CGCUGGCGGCGUGGAUUAGGCAUGCAAGUCGGACGGUAUACAGGUCUUCGGACCUGUAGAGAGUGGCGAACGGGUGAGUAACGCGUAGGUGAUCUACCUUCAGGUGGGGGACAACCCAGGGAAAACUUGGGCUAAUACCGCAUGUGGCAGCGAUGCUAAAGCCGGCCUCUAUUUAUAAGCUGGUGCCUGGAGCUGAGCCUGCGUCUGAUUAGCUAGUUGGUGGGGUAACGGCCUACCGAGGCGAUGAUAAGUAGGCGGCUUUAACGAGUGGUCGCCCACACUGGGAUUGAGAUACGGCCCAGACUCCUACGGGAGGCAGCAGUCGAGGAUAGUCUACAAUGGUCGAGAGACUGAUAGUGCGACGCCGCGUGGACGAAGAAGCAUUUCGGUGUGUAAAGUUCUUUUCUAUGGGAGCAGCGCAUAGCUGGUGAACAGUCAUUUAUGCGGGAUAUUACUAUAGGAAUAAGCCACGGCUAACUCCGUGCCAGCAGCCGCGGUAAUACGGGGGUGGCGAGCGUUGUCCGGAAUUACUAGGCGUAAAGGGCAGGUAGGCGGUUGUAUAAGUUAAUUGUUAAAUACCCAUGCUCACCACGGGAGGAGCAGUUGAUACUGUAUAACUGGAAGCGAGUGGGGGAAGACGGAAUUCCCGGUGUAGCGGUGGAAUGCGCAGAGAUCGGG